ACGACCUUACUUGAACAGGCUCUGUUUUUUAGGCUCGUACCUUUGUGUCCUAAAGUUCGAAGGAGACAGAAUUCCGAGUCUGGUUGAUGAACCACGACUGUGUGAUCUGAGCGUGAUUACUGGUCUGGUGAUACCCAUUCUGGUUCCACUUCGACCGCAGAGGAUCGUUCUCGGCGUGUCUUGUGCGGAUAGGAAGGUCGCGCAGUUGUCAGACAGACU
rfam:Gossypium arboreum cultivar AKA8401 contig_33567_1, whole genome shotgun sequence.